rnacentral:rRNA from 1 species
GGCGGACGGGUGAGUAAUGCUUAGGAAUCUGCCUAUUAGUGGGGGACAACAUUCCGAAAGGAAUGCUAAUACCGCAUACGCCCUACGGGGGAAAGCAGGGGAUCUUCGGACCUUGCGCUAAUAGAUGAGCCUAAGUCAGAUUAGCUAGUUGGUGGGGUAAAGGCCUACCAAGGCGACGAUCUGUAGCGGGUCUGAGAGGAUGAUCCGCCACACUGGGACUGAGACACGGCCCAGACUCCUACGGGAGGCAGCAGUGGGGAAUAUUGGACAAUGGGCGAAAGCCUGAUCCAGCCAUGCCGCGUGUGUGAAGAAGGCCUUUUGGUUGUAAAGCACUUUAAGCGAGGAGGAGGCUACCGAGAUUAAUACUCUUGGAUAGUGGACGUUACUCGCAGAAUAAGCACCGGCUAACUCUGUGCCAGCAGCCGCGGUAAUACAGAGGGUGCGAGCGUUAAUCGGAUUUACUGGGCGUAAAGCGUGCGUAGGCGGCUUUUUAAGUCGGAUGUGAAAUCCCUGAGCUUAACUUAGGAAUUGCAUUCGAUACUGGGAAGCUAGAGUAUGGGAGAGGAUGGUAGAAUUCCAGGUGUAGCGGUGAAAUGCGUAGAGAUCUGGAGGAAUACCGAUGGCGAAGGCAGCCAUCUGGCCUAAUACUGACGCUGAGGUACGAAAGCAUGGGGAGCAAACAGGAUUAGAUACCCUGGUAGUCCAUGCCGUAAACGAUGUCUACUAGCCGUUGGGGCCUUUGAGGCUUUAGUGGCGCAGCUAACGCGAUAAGUAGACCGCCUGGGGGAGUACGGUCGCAAGACUAAAACUCAAAUGAAUUGACGGGGGGCCCGCACAAGCGGUGGAGCAUGUGGUUUAAAUUCGAUGCAACGCGAAGAACCUUACCUGGUCUUGACAUAGUAAGAACUUUCCAGUAGAUGGAUUGGUGCCUUCGGGAACUUACAUACAGGUGCUGCAUG